rnacentral:rRNA from 1 species
UGGGGAAUUUUACGCAAUGGGGGAAACCCUGACGUAGCGACACCGCGUGAGCGAAGAAGCCUUUUGGGGUGUAAAGCUCUGUCAGCUGGAACGAACACAAUGACGGUACCAGCAGAGGAAGCAUCGGCUAACUACGUGCCAGCAGCCGCGGUAAGACGUAGGAUGCAAGCGUUGUCCGGAUUCAUUGGGCGUAAAGAGUUCGUAGGUGGUCUGUUAAGUUUGGUGUUAAAGAGCGGGGCCCAACCCCGAUAGUGCACUGAAUACUGGCAGACUUGAGUGCGGUAGAGGUAGGUGGAAUUCCAAGUGUAGCGGUGAAAUGCAUAGAUAUUUGGAAGAACGCCGGUGGCGUAAGCGACUUACUGGGCCGUAACUGACACUGAGGAACGAAAGCCGGGGUAGCGAAUG